UACGUAGAGUGCAAGCGUUGUCCGGAAUUAUUGGGCGUAAAGAGCUCGUAGGCGGUUUGUUGCGUCGGCUGUGAAAUCCCGAGGCUCAACCUCGGGUCUGCAGUCGAUACGAGCAAACUAGAGUGUUGCAGGGGAGACUGGAAUUCCUGGUGUAGCGGUGAAAUGCGCAGAUAUCAGGAGGAACACCGGUGGCGAAGGCGGGUCUCUGGGCCGAUACUGACGCUGAGGAGCGAAAGCGUGGGGAGCGAACAGG
rnacentral:rRNA from 1 species